ACAACUUUCGACAACGGAUCUCUUGGUUCUCCCAUCGAUGAAGAACGCAGCGAAACGCGAUAGGUAAUGUGAAUUGCAGAAUUCCGUGAAUCAUCGAAUCUUUGAACGCACCUUGCGCUCCAUGGUAUUCCGUGGGGCAUGCCUGUUUGAGUGCCGCG
rnacentral:rRNA from 1 species